rnacentral:rRNA from 1 species
CCUACGGGAGGCAGCAGUGGGGAAUUUUCCGCAAUGGGCGAAAGCCUGACGGAGCAACGCCGCGUGAGGGAUGAAGGCCUCUGGGCUGUAAACCUCUUUUAUCAAGGAAGAAGAUCUGACGGUACUUGAUGAAUAAGCCACGGCUAAUUCCGUGCCAGCAGCCGCGGUAAUACGGGAGUGGCAAGCGUUAUCCGGAAUUAUUGGGCGUAAAGCGUCCGCAGGCGGCCCAGAAAGUCUGCUGUUAAAACGUGGAGCUUAACUCCAUCAUGGCAGUGGAAACUACUGGGCUUGAGUGUGGUAGGGGCAGAGGGAAUUCCCGGUGUAGCGGUGAAAUGCGUAGAUAUCGGGAAGAACACCAGUGGCGAAGGCGCUCUGCUGGGCCAUAACUGACGCUCAUGGACGAAAGCCAGGGGAGCGAAAGGGAUUAGAUACCCCUGUAGUCCUGGCCGUAAACGAUGAACACUAGGUGUCGGGGGAAUCGACCCCCUCGGUGUCGUAGCCAACGCGUUAAGUGUUCCGCCUGGGGAGUACGCACGCAAGUGUGAAACUCAAAGGAAUUGACGG